rnacentral:misc_RNA from 1 species
ACUCCCUCCGUCCCAUAAAAAACGAAACUAGAACCGGAUAUGACACGUUCUAGUACUACGAAUCUGGACAAAUGUACAAAUUCAUAGUACUACAAUGUGUCACAUCCAAUACUAGGUUAGCUUUUUAUGGGACGGAGGGA